rnacentral:rRNA from 1 species
AUUGAACGCUGGCGGCGUGCCUAAUACAUGCAAGUCGAGCGAAUGGAUUAAGAGCUUGCUCUUAUGAAGUUAGCGGCGGACGGGUGAGUAACACGUGGGUAACCUGCCCAUAAGACUGGGAUAACUCCGGGAAACCGGGGCUAAUACCGGAUAACAUUUUGAACCGCAUGGUUCGAAAUUGAAAGGCGGCUUCGGCUGUCACUUAUGGAUGGACCCGCGUCGCAUUAGCUAGUUGGUGAGGUAACGGCUCACCAAGGCAACGAUGCGUAGCCGACCUGGGAGGGUGAUCGGCCACACUGGGACUGAGACACGGCCCAGACUCGUACGGGAGGCAGCAGUAGGGAAUCUUCCGCAAUGGACGAAAGUCUGACGGAGCAACGCCGCGUGAGUGAUGAAGGCUUUCGGGUCGUAAAACUCUGUUGUUAGGGAAGAACAAGUGCUAGUUGAAUAAGCUGGCACCUUGACGGUACCUAACCAGAAAGCCACGGCUAACUACGUGCCAGCCGCCGCCGUAA